GGGUGGACAGGUGGUGGCAUGGUUGUCGUCAGCUCGUGUCGUGAGGAUGUUGGGUUAAGUCCCGCAACGAGCGCAACCCUUGUCCUUAGUUACCAGCACGUUAUGGUGGGCACUCUAAGGAGACUGCCGGUGACAAACCGGAGGAAGGUGGGGAUGACGUCAAGUCAUCAUGGCCCUUACGGCCUGGGCUACACACGUGCUACAAUGGUCGGUACAAAGGGUUGCCAAGCCGCGAGGUGGAGCUAAUCCCAUAAAACCGAUCGUAGUCCGGAUCGCAGUCUGCAACUCGACUGCGUGAAGUCGGAAUCGCUAGUAAUCGUGAAUCAGAAUGUCACGGUGAAUACGUUCCCGGGCCUU
rnacentral:rRNA from 1 species